UCCUGGCUCAGGAUGAACGCUGGCGGCGUGCCUAAUACAUGCAAGUCGAGCGAACAGACGAGGAGCUUGCUCCUCUGACGUUAGCGGCGGACGGGUGAGUAACACGUGGAUAACCUACCUAUAAGACUGGGAUAACUUCGGGAAACCGGAGCUAAUACCGGAUAAUAUAUUGAACCGCAUGGUUCAAUAGUGAAAGACGGUUUUGCUGUCACUUAUAGAUGGAUCCGCGCCGCAUUAGCUAGUUGGUAAGGUAACGGCUUACCAAGGCAACGAUGCGUAGCCGACCUGAGAGGGUGAUCGGCCACACUGGAACUGAGACACGGUCCAGACUCCUACGGGAGGCAGCAGUAGGGAAUCUUCCGCAAUGGGCGAAAGCCUGACGGAGCAACGCCGCGUGAGUGAUUAAGGUCUUCGGAUCGUAAAACUCUGUUAUUAGGGAAGAACAAAUGUGUAAGUAACUAUGCACGUCUUGACGGUACCUAAUCAGAAAGCCACGGCUAACUACGUG
rnacentral:rRNA from 1 species